AGAGUUUGAUCCUGGCUCAGGAUGAACGCUGGCGGCGUGCCUAACACAUGCAAGUCGAGCGAAGCAAUGUUAAGGAAGUUUACGGAUGGAAUUAAGAUUGACUGAGCGGCGGACGGGUGAGUAACGCGUGGGUAACCUGCCUCAUACAGGGGGAUAACAGUUAGAAAUGACUGCUAAUACCGCAUAAGCGCACAGGACCGCAUGGUCCGGUGUGAAAAACUCCGGUGGUAUGAGAUGGACCCGCGUCUGAUUAGUUAGUUGGCGGGGUAGCGGCCCACCAAGACGACGAUCAGUAGCCGACCUGAGAGGGCGACCGGCCACAUUGGGACUGAGACACGGCCCAAACUCCUACGGGAGGCAGCAGUGGGGAAUAUUGCACAAUGGGGGAAACCCUGAUGCAGCGACGCCGCGUGAGUGAAGAAGUAUUUCGGUAUGUAAAGCUCUAUCAGCAGGGAAGAAGUUGACGGUACCUGAGUAAGAAGCCCCGGCUAACUACGUG
rnacentral:rRNA from 1 species